GACGGCGCAAUUGCGUGAUAUCAAGCCGAAAGGUAUUAUCAUGAGGAAAGUCCGGGCUUCACAGGGCAGGAUAACUGAUAACGUCAGCCGAGGGCGACCUCCGGGAAAGUGCAACAGAGAUAUACCGCCCGCGCAAGCGGGUAAGGAUGGAAAGGCGAGGUAAGAGCUCACCCGUAUCCCGGGUAACCGGGGUAUGCUGUAAACCCUAUCCGAAGCAACACCGUAAGCGAAAGGGGAUAGAAACCACGUUUGCCCGACGGAAUUUCGCAGGUGGCAAAGAACGUUAUGGCGACAUGACGUCAAGAUAGAUAAUUGCGGACGGUUUUUUGACCGUUACAGAACCCGGCUUAUAAGUCCGCUCAU
rnacentral:RNase_P_RNA from 1 species